rnacentral:rRNA from 1 species
ACUCCUACGGAAGGCAGCAGUGGGGAAUAUUGGACAAUGGGCGCAAGCCUGAUCCAGCAAUGCCGCGUGAGUGAAGAAGGUCUUCGGAUUGUAAAGCUCUUUCGACGGGGACGAUGAUGACGGUACCCGUAGAAGAAGCCCCGGCUAACUUCGUGCCAGCAGCCGCGGUAAU